rnacentral:lncRNA from 1 species
CCUUAACAUAUAAAGAUUAAUCAAUUGUUUGGGGAAAAUACUAUAUGAAAAAAAAGAUAUCACGGGAAAAAAAUGCCUACUUACCUAAGUCCACCGUUCAAGUUCAUUAGCGCUUUGAAUCAUCUCCCAAAACAAUCAACUCUUGGAACUAAUAAUAAGCAGAGAUGACAUGAUUUGGUUGUAACAGAACUUCAAGAUUCACAUCAUUGUAACAAAACUUCAAGCUUUUUGUGAGAUUUUUCUUCAAAAUGUAAAUAGACCAGGACAAUCUCUUAGGUACUAUCAACUUAGUNNNNN